rnacentral:lncRNA from 1 species
UUCUCACUCAUCGACCAAUUUCAACUGUUGUACUGCUUGGCUAUGGAAAGGUAAUCCGUGCACAAGACAGGCAUUAAAAGGAUAUAAAUGUGGACACAGCACAAGGUGUGGGAUAGAUGGAGCUUUGAAAGAGGCUGGGUUCUGGGUUUGGCGCCCUUCGUCUAUGAACUACUGCAUGCCUUGCAGAAGGGACUCAAGCAGUACCAGGGAGUCGCAUUUGCUGUUGGACAGCUCUGAUUUUGAGUUUUCUGCUCUGCACCCUUGCCCUGCUUCCAAACACAGUCAUAUUCUGACGUGCUGGGGUUUAGACUAUAACAUAUGAAUUUGAGAGGACACAAUUUGGCUGAUGACAGCAUGCAUGGCUUCGAAGUCCUACUUCAGAGGAUCUCCAGGCUGCUUAAAG